GAUGGGUCACGUUGGAAGCGAUCACAGUGGGUCAUCUGGUCCUACCUCCCUGCUCAAGCAGGACCAUCCUAGAGCACAUGGCGCAGGAUUGUGAUCACAGGGUUCCUGAAUAUCUCCAGUGAGGGAGACCUCACAGCCUCCUGAGCAACCUGUUCAGUGCACGGUCACCUGCACACUCAAGCGGUUCUUCCUCAUGUUCAGGUGGAACUUCCUGUGCAUCAGUUUCUGCCAUUGCCUCGUGUCCUAGUGGUUGGCACCACCGAGAGGAGCCCGGCUCCAUCUUCUUGGCGGCACUCCUGUAGAUAUUUGGCGGUGUCUCUCCCCUUCUCCUCCCCGUGCCCGCCGGUUUGGGAGCGGAGGCCGGAGGGGGUUGGCAGAAAGGCGGAGGGCGGUGGGUACCCUGCUGUUCCCUGCCCAGCCCCGGGCCGGGAGGGGCCCCCCGAGGAGCCCCCUGCGCUCCAGCCUCUGCCCCUUCCUCGGCCAGGAGACCUGUCCAGCCACAGCUGCUCUCCCGCCCCGCUGUCAAGCUUCCGAGCUGUUUCCCGUUUUAUUUUUUCCGGUUUUCUAGGGAUUUUUUCCCCCCUGUGUUUUCAGCCCCUCAUGCUCCGCCCACAUGCCUAAAACAGAAAACGGUGGAAAUGCUAGUUUCCCGACCACAGAUCAGUUUGAAGGACUUGGCCACCAUGACAAUCUGAUCCCACUGUGGCCUGGGUUUCCCCUUAUCUUUCUUUCCUUCACUUUACAUCUCCCUCUUUCAUUCCCCAUCUCAAUUACUGAUGGUAAUUACUUCUCUUCAGUGUUCAGAUACUUGGUGCUUCUGAAUGCUCUGAUUGCUUAGCAUUUGGGGAAUUCUCUGUAUCCUAACAGAAUGGGUACAAAAUGCAACCCUGCCAGAUUGACAGCAUCUUGCCCUGAUGUAAAUGGCUGCACAAGGUCCGGGGUAAUUCUGGCAGAUGAAGAAGCUCCUCCGCCUUACAGUUCUGUUUUAAAAUGCUGUUGACAGAUCAAUCAUCCCUUGGAAGAUUAUUGGCAAAUCUGAAAAGUGAUCUGUGGAGCUACUGCUGCACAACAGCUUGCAAUGAGCACAUUAUAAGUGAUUGGUUAAUUUUACGCCUAUAUAAACUUUGUCAUAAAAUGUUUGAAUGGGAGGUUUUUAUCUCAGGGGUAUUUUGUAAUGGAGCAAGUCAUUGGCAAAGCUAUUCCCCCUCUCUAGAAACCUCACUGGGAAGGAAGCUGUGAAUGUCUUUAUUUUGAAUGUUCCAGUGCCCAGUUAUGAGAGAUUCUGACCAAUUUCAAUUGAGAAUAUAAAUGCUAACUUUUUAGCACUUUCCCCCUAUAUAUCUUAAAAUACAUACUUGCUGAGGAGAAAAAAAAGGUUGACAAGAGUAACUUUCUUGCAUUCAUAGUGGCACAUAGUAAGUCAGAACAGAAAUUGAUAUCUAGAACAGUGCGGAAUCCCCGAGCAGACAUGUUACGUCCUCUAUGGGGGAAAAAACUCCACACUGAAAAUUGAAUGAAAACCACUCCAAACCUAGCUUUCCAUACGCCCCGUUCUUUUCAGAUCUCUUGAAGUUCGAUUUGUCUCAUGUAGGAUAAAAGCCAUGAUCUAACGUUGCUAAGAGCGAAGUUAGCUUACUCUUAGUAAAGAAAGGUUAAUCAGGCAUUAUAUGUUUUAUUGUACCUUCAUAUUGAAAGGCAAGGUAAAGAAUGUGCCUAAAAUCACUCUGUCUUUUAUAUUUUCAAGUAUGAUGAUAAAGUGGCAUCUUACAAAAGCAGAAAUUAAAUAGCCACAGAGCAAAUGUGACUUGGAUGUCAUGAACAUGCAUCUGAUUUAUCUCAUCAUUGCACAACCCCAAACAGGGACAUCUUGCUUCAUUUCCUAGUCCAGCUAUAUGGGUGACUGUUCUAGUUGUACUAAUUAGAAGGUGCAUCAUGUUACUAUGUCUCAGUCAUGAAAGCAGAUGCUUACCGAGCAGUUGUUUUCAGGAUUCAUUCAGACCAGGACCAAAGAGGAACUUCUGUGUCCCAUGGAUCUUAUUGUCAGAUUGCCUCCAUGCCACAGAGUGCAGAGGCCAGGAAACCCCUAGCACAAGAUUUGUAGUUGUGUGAGGGCUUGGCAACUUCCAACAUGAGCCAUUUGCCAUUAGAUGGCAGCGAAAAGCUCCUCUCAAAGCUGCCACGGGCUCAGGCUUCCUUCACAAGAGGCUUUGCUCAGCCACAGACCGGUCAUAUCUAUCUCUAAGAAGAAUGUUCUUUAAGCUGCUUUCAGCCGCAUUGGCAUCCUGCACAAAGAAUCCCUUUUCAGAAGCAAGCAAGAUUUCACAAAGCACCUUUGACUGCAGCUUACUUAUUCCUUG